AUAUCAGGUUCAGGUUAGGGUUUUCAACCCGAAAAAUUAAAUGGAUUAGGUUCGGGUUGGGGGUAGCUGACCCGAAAUUUAGGUGACCCGAACAUGAACCCGACCUGAUCCAUUUGCCAGCCCUAGUAUUUAUUAUACGAAGUAUUUUUAAUAAAAAAAAAUCUCUAAAGAAAAAGUUUACCGAGUCAUCUACAUAAUUCAUGAAAUUCACAUUUGAUCUAUACCAACUAUUCUACUCAUUUAUCAUCAUGUAGUUUGUGUACCAACUAAAAAAAUAUAUUUUUUUUGUUAGUGUAUUUUAUUUUGUAUGCUAAAUUCAAAAGAAAGAAUUGAGUUUGCGUAAAACCAGUAGCAUUACCCAACACACAACGGCAACACAAGCAGGAGCACCUGCACCACCUCCCACCCCUUUUCUUUCUUCCACACUCUCAAUUAUUCUCAUUUUCUCUCUCCUCACCUUAAAAUUCCCACAAAUUCAUUUACCCCCCUUUUUUUUCCCUUUUUCUUUUUUCCAUAUUUUGUUGUCCCCCCAUUUUUUCUUUCAUUUUUCUGGGUGCAUAAUUUAUGAGUUCUCCUAUCUUAUUUAUGGCAUUUCACGCUUCUUCUUGAUCAAUUUUCUCUCUCCUUUAUCUUUCUGUAAAUAAAUUUAUACCCAUUUUUCCAGGAUCUGUUCUUGGGUUUUCUGCUGAAAGUUGAAUUCAAAGGAGAUUAAUUAUUAAAGGGUUCAUCUAAUUAUAUAUGUUUGGGUCCAAUUUAGUCAAAAUUGGGCCUAAGCACUAAAUGAUCCAAUUAAAAGCCCAAGGUCAAGGUUCAACUCUCCAAUUGCACAAAAGUCAAAGGUCAGCCCACAAAGCAUUCCAAUUGGGCUAAGGCCCAACCUCACCAUAUAUGAUGAGGUAUAAAAGCCAUCAUAUUGACACAUUCAUAGAGACACGUUGAUAUUCAUAUUCCAAUUCAUAUGCUCACUCUUGCAUUCAGAAAUAUUCCACAAAAGCCUCAAGCUACAAACUCUCUUGCAUAGUGUCUUCCUUUUACACAUUGUACUGACUUUAGCAUCGGAGGGGCCUUCCUCGGAAACACC